AACUUAGUUUAUCACAAUUUCGUGAUAAAAUAACUCUAUAUAGUGUAAUAUUUGAAGAGUGCGUUGUUAAUUGCAUAUAAUUUUGACCUAAAGUUUAACAAUUUCAGACAGCCGUCGUCCCCGCAGCCCCAACCAAGGCGGCGACGCAGCCAGAGCGGGCAAGAGCGGCUCCGCGGGCUCUUCUUCCACGCUGAGAAGUCCUCGCCAAGUUGGCACGUACAGUCAGAGCUGCCGCUGCAAUGACGCCUUCAUGGCAGUUACCAGUGCUAAGGACGUGCACUGCUGGCUUACUUGACCAGAAGAGACAAUACUUUAAGCGUUAGUAUUGAUUCAAACCGUGAAGUGAAAUUGUGGACAGGUUUGCCCGAAUCAGUGUAACCUCAGUGAAUUCAUUUACUUCAUAGACUUCAAACAUUUUCGAAAUUAACAAAAGUCAAGCGGACAUUGAAUACAUAGAUAAGAUGCAUUAGAUAAGAUAAAAGCUGCCUGUGAAACCAAAACUAAUAAAUCAUAUUGUUACUUAA